rnacentral:ncRNA from 2 species
AUCGUAGCAUUGCUGUCCGGCCUCAAGCAGCGAGUGAAAAGGGAAUCCGGUGAGAAUCCGGAGCUGACGCGCAGCGGUAAGGGGAAGUCACGGCGAUAGCAUAUAUUAAUGCAGACACUGUCCACUGCUGGAUGGGAAGUCAUCGCCCGGUGUCGAUUGGGUUGCGCAAUCGACAAGUCCCAAGCCCGAAGACCUGCCGGUACUACGUCGCAUUA